GACGAACGCUGGCGGCGUGCUUAACACAUGCAAGUCGAACGGAAAGGCCCUGCUUGCAGGGUACUCGAGUGGCGAACGGGUGAGUAACACGUGGGUGAUCUGCCCUGCACUUCGGGAUAAGCCUGGGAAACUGGGUCUAAUACCGGAUAGGAGCCAUUUUUAGUGUGAUGGUUGGAAAGUUUUUUCGGUGUAGGAUGAGCUCGCGGCCUAUCAGCUUGUUGGUGGGGUAAUGGCCUACCAAGGCGGCGACGGGUAGCCGGCCUGCGAGGGUGGACGGCCACAUUGGGACUGAGAUACGGCCCAGACUCCUACGGGAGGCAGCAGUGGGGAAUAUUGCACAAUGGGCGCAAGCCUGAUGCAGCGACGCCGGGUGGGGGAUGACGGCCUUCGGGUUGUAAACUCCUUUCGCUAGGGACGAAGCUUUUUGUGACGGUACCUAGAUAAGAAGCACCGGCUAACUACGUG
rnacentral:rRNA from 1 species